AUGACUUUCUAGAUUGACGUGAAACGUUUUAGCUGUUGUGAAGGUGCAAACUCAAAGUCAAAGGAAUACGUAUUUAUGUUCAUAUGUCUUUAGAUUUUUUAUGCUCAAUGGUGUAUGUUGGUUGUAGUGAAAAGAGGAAUUUUGGUUAUUAUUUAACUUUUUAGGCGGAACAAAAUUUAUAAAGUGAAAAAGUUGCAGACCAGUUUUGGAUCACACAAUUGCAACACAAGAUUUCCCUCGUGAAUCGUGUUCCUUGAAGUGGAAGCUACGAGUUCAUCUCUCAGUCUGACUGGGCAAAAUUCAAAAUUGAAACCUUCCUAAAAGUGAUCAGUGAAGACAGCAUCACACACCAUAGCAAGCUGCAGCGUUUUCUGCUUUGUCAUUGGACUCCACAAGUUAUUGGCACAAGCAGGGAGGCAAGCUAUAACCAAAGCACAUUGCCUUACUUCAUUGCCCCAAGGCCAUCUACAACACAGCAAAACAUAGUCAUCCUUCAUCGGCUUCACUCUAUAAGGCUGAAAGUGACUCCGGCUCUCCAUGGAGAUGUAGCACUCGUAAUGAAGCAAGAUGAAUGCAAUCGCCUGAUUAACAACAGCAGGAUCAAAGCGUUGAUAGCUACGACGAGGCGGGGAAAGACGCUGCCCAUUAGUCAAUUUGUUAAAGUCACUCAACCCUUUGACGCAACGUCAGAGCAUGCUCUGCUACAUCACGAAAAUUUGUUAAGGCAUAAGCGAUUGAUAGAGAUCCUGCUGGGCCACAUAACAAAGCGGCAAUUUGGGAAAAAAGGCUGGUCCUUGACAACGAUGAAGACAGCGACUUCCUCAACGUGGAAUGAACAUCGAUGUUGAAUGCUGCGAAGAGAUCGGAUGCGGAAGUUAUGCCUCUCAUUGAUUCAUCAAGACAGUUGUCCCUCACGCUUCUACCUCUUUUACGGCUAAUUUUAUUCUCAACGGAUCGCCCGUCGUGGUCACAUUCACAUCUGGGGCACCGAGAACAAGUCACACACAACUUUAUUUUACAGCGGCAAACAGAAGUCAUGACGGAAGCAAAAAGGAUUUGACACUGAGCUUUCCUGACGUAGAAAAAGGCUUUCAAGGGAAGACGUGAACUACAUAAAGUUUUAUUAGUGCGACAUAAAAGUUAACCGAGAUAAACUUAUCCCAUACAUUUUUUCCCAUUCAAGGUUAACUUUUCUACCAUGAAUAUGCGUCAUCGGGCCGGAAUCUAACCAAAAUUCUACCCUUUCUGAGCAGUUCAACGGAGAUGUCUUUGCAUGGUAAACCUACACGGUAACAUUGUUUUAGUUGGUGAUUUAUCGCUUUAACAUUUUAUGUCCAGUGCAAUGUUACUUAUAUUUGUGUUACGGAAUGUAGUAGCUGAGCGGACACAUCAACCCACUUGUGCUAUAUUUUCUUAUUUGU
rnacentral:lncRNA from 1 species